rnacentral:rRNA from 1 species
CGCGCAGGCGGCCUGGUAAGUCUGGAGUGAAAGUCCUGCUUUUAAGGUGGGAAUUGCUUUGGAUACUGUCGGGCUUGAGUGCAGGAGAGGUAAGUGGAAUUCCCGGUGUAGCGGUGAAAUGCGUAGAGAUCGGGAGGAACACCAGUGGCGAAGGCGACUUACUGGACUGUAACUGACGCUGAGGCGCGAAAGUGUGGGAAGCAAACA